CAUUCCUUUUUGAUAAUAAUUUAAGGUCUGACCUGCUCAAUGAAUUUUUAAUAGCCGCAGUAUUUUAACUGUGCAAAGGUAGCAUAAUAAUUAGUUUCUUAAUUGGGAUAUGGAAUGAAUGGUUAGACAAGAUAAUUUCUGUCUCUUUCUUAAUUUUAUUGAAUUUUAUUUUUAAGUAAAAACGCUUAGAUUAAUUUAAAAGACGAGAAGAUCCUAUAGAGUUUAAUAUUUAGAAUAGAAUUAUUUAUUAGAAUAUUUUUUUAUGAAAAUUGAUUUGAUUGGCGUGAUUGGAAGAUAUAAUAAAUUCUUUUUAAAUUAAUUGAUGAUUAUUAAAUUUUUUAUCUAUAGAUUAUAAAUAUAAAAUGAAUUACCUUAGGGAUAACAGCGUAAUUUUUCUUUAAAGUUCUUAUUAGAAGGAAAGUUUGGGACCUCGAUGUUGGAUUAAAAUUAAUUUUCGGUGCAGUAACUGGUAAAUAAGGUCUGUUCGAUCUUUAAAAUUUUACAUGAUCUGAGUUUAGACCGGUGUAAACCAGGUCGGAUUCUAUCUUUAUAAAUAAUUUUAUAUAUUAGUACGAAAGGACCAUAUAUAAAUUAAAUUAAUUG
rnacentral:rRNA from 1 species